rnacentral:rRNA from 1 species
UACGGAGGGUGCGAGCGUUGUCCGGAAUCACUGGGCGUAAAGGGCGCGUAGGCGGCCUGGUAAGUAGAGGGUGAAAUCCUGCGGCUUAACCGCAGGGCUGCCUUCUAAACUGUCAGGCUCGAGCACGGUAGAGGCAGAUGGAAUUCCCGGUGUAGCGGUGGAAUGCGUAGAGAUCGGGAAGAACAUCAGUGGCGAAGGCGGUCUGCUGGGCCGUUGCUGACGCUGAGGCGCGAAAGCUAGGGUAGCAAACGGG